AGAGUUUGAUCCUGGCUCAGAAUGAACGCUGGCGGCGUGCUUAACACAUGCAAGUCGAACGAUGAAGCCUAGCUUGCUAGGUGGAUUAGUGGCGCACGGGUGAGUAAUAUAUAGAUAAUGUGCCUCUUAGUCUGGGAUAGCCAUUGGAAACGAUGAUUAAUACUGGAUACUCCUUCUUACUCUAAUGUAAGUCGGGAAAGUUUUUCGCUAAGAGAUCAGUCUAUAUCCCAUCAGUUAGUUGGUAGGGUAAUGGCCUACCAAGGCAAUGACGGGUAGCGGGUUUGAGAGGAUGAUCCGCCACACUGGUACUGAGACACGGACCAGACUCCUACGGGAGGCAGCAGUGAGGAAUAUUGCACAAUGGAGGAAACUCUGAUGCAGCAACGCCGCGUGGAGGAUGACGCAUUUCGGUGUGUAAACUCCUUUUAUAUGUCAAGAAAAUGACGGUAGCAUAUGAAUAAGCACCGCUAACU
rnacentral:rRNA from 1 species